rnacentral:piRNA from 1 species
UAGAAUACAGGAAAAUAGGAA